GUGGGGAAUAUUGGACAAUGGGGGGAACCCUGAUCCAGCCAUGCCGCGUGUUUGAAGAAGGCCUUUUGGUUGUAAAGCACUUUAAGCGAGGAGGAGGCUACCGAGAUUAAUACUCUUGGAUAGUGGACGUUACUCGCAGAAUAAGCACCGGCUAACUCUGUGCCAGCAGCCGCGGUAAUACAGAGGGUGCAAGCGUUAAUCGGAUUUACUGGGCGUAAAGCGCGCGUAGGCGGCCAAUUAAGUCAAAUGUGAAAUCCCUGGGCUUAAAUUAGGAAUUGCAUUCGAUACUGGUCAGCUAGAGUAUGGGAGAGGAUGGUAGAAUUCCAGGUGUAGCGGUGAAAUGCGUAGAGAUCUGGAGGAAUACCGAUGGCGAAGGCAGCCAUCUGGCCUAAUACUGACGCUGAGGUACGAAAGCAUGGGGAGCAAACAGGAUUAGAUACCCCUGUAGUCC
rnacentral:rRNA from 1 species